rnacentral:rRNA from 1 species
GAUGGUUGUUUGAACCGCAUGGUUCAAACAUAAAAGGUGGCUUCGGCUACCACUUACAGAUGGACCCGCGGCGCAUUAGCUAGUUGGUGAGGUAACGGCUCACCAAGGCAACGAUGCGUAGCCGACCUGAGAGGGUGAUCGGCCACACUGGGACUGAGACACGGCCCAGACUCCUACGGGAGGCAGCAGUAGGGAAUCUUCCGCAAUGGACGAAAGUCUGACGGAGCAACGCCGCGUGAGUGAUGAAGGUUUUCGGAUCGUAAAGCUCUGUUGUUAGGGAAGAACAAGUACCGUUCGAAUAGGGCGGUACCUUGACGGUACCUAACCAGAAAGCCACGGCUAACUACGUGCCAGCAGCCGCGGUAAUACGUAGGUGGCAAGCGUUGUCCGGAAUUAUUGGGCGUAAAGGGCUCGCAGGCGGUUUCUUAAGUCUGAUGUGAAAGCCCCCGGCUCAACCGGGGAGGGUCAUUGGAAACUGGGGAACUUGAGUGCAGAAGAGGAGAGUGGAAUUCCACGUGUAGCGGUGAAAUGCGUAGAGAUGUGGAGGAACACCAGUGGCGAAGGCGACUCUCUGGUCUGUAACUGACGCUGAGGAGCGAAAGCGUGGGGAGCGAACAGGAUUAGAUACCCUGGUAGUCCACGCCGUAAACGAUGAGUGCUAAGUGUUAGGGGGGUUUCCGCCCCUUAGUGCUGCAGCUAACGCAUUAAGCACUCCGCCUGGGGAGUACGGUCGCAAGACUGAAACUCAAAGGAAUUGACGGGGGCCCGCACAAGCGGUGGAGCAUGUGGUUUAAUUCGAAGCAACGCGAAGAACCUUACCAGGUCUUGACAUCCUCUGACAAUCCUAGAGAUAGGACGUCCCCUUUCGGGGGCAGAGUGACAGUGGUGCAUGGUUGUCGUCAGCUCGUGUCGUGAGAUGUUGGGUUAGUCCCGCAACGAGCGCAACCCUUUGAUCUUAGUUGCCAGCAUUCAGUUGGGCACUCUAAGGUGACUGCCGGUGACAAACCGGAGGAAGGUGGGGAUGACGUCAAAUCAUCAUGCCCCUUAUGACCUGGGCUACACACGUGCUACAAUGGACAGAACAAAGGGCAGCGAAACCGCGAGGUUAAGCCAAU